UAUCAAUUUUGAUAUAUACUAACUUUGUUCUUGUAAAUCAAAUAUGGUCUAUUGUUUUUCAUUUACGGGGAAUACAUUUUUAUAUCACAAUGCCUAGAAAAAACAAUCAUAGACUUGUAGAUAGACAUUAUGAUGAAGUAGAGCCUUAUAUAGAGCAAUUAAUGAACACCCCAAAUUGUUGUGAACCCAAGUCAAAUGAAUUGAAAAAUUCAGGUGGCCUAAUAGGAUUAUCGUACAUGACAAGGUAUAAGACUAGAGAUGCCUUGAUAAAAGCAGACCAACUCGAAUACCAAGGGACCAAUGGACUGGUCUUGUCUCUUAUUGGCUUUUUGAUAAAGGAAAGAAGCGCAACCAAGCAAAUAGAAAUAAUAGGACAAAGCAAAAGAUGCCUCACACUAGAGGAUCCAAAAGUAUUGGAACCUUAAUGGUUGAAAAGGCCAUAGAUGGGAUAGAGCCUACAAGGGCAGAAAUCUUUAUAUUAACUCAUCAAAGACGUAAAGAUGGAAGACCAUUGGAUGACGUGUCUGCAAAAAUAGUGGAUGUGAUGCAAGAAAAAUUGAACAAUGGUGAAACAUCUAAUGAAAAACCUAUUGGUAGUGUUGCUUAGGAAGGAGAUGUGUAUUCCCAAGUAUUGGGGGCUGAAAGAAGUGGCUAUGUUCGUGGCUUAGGACUUGGUCCAACACCUUCUUUGUUGUGGGGUUCUAAAUCUUCCAUAGGAAGUACUUUUGCUAAUAAUAUAUCUAAUGAGGUAGUACAAAGAUUAGAGCAAGAGGUGAAGAUGUUAAAGGAGUUAAAGGAAAAACAUGAUGAAGAAAUGAAUUUGAUGAAACAAAAUCAAGAUAAGUUACUUUCAGAACUAUCUUUUGUUAGAAAAUUCAUGUACAAACAUUUUCCAAUGGAGCUAUCUAUGCCUCAAAAGUAAUGGAAGCUCAUUUGGACAACUAUGAUUCAAAUGCUUUUAAACUUUUUUUUUUCUUUUCAAAUUUUGAUUGUAAAAGACAAUGUUAUUUUCUUAUGUUUUAAUUAGGUCUUUGGUACUAAUAUUGGCCAGGAAAAAGCACCAGAAAUGCCACACAUGUCCUUUGGUGCUCAUGAAUCACAAUUACCUACAAAAUCUACUGCAACUAUGAAAACAGGUUUGACCCAUGUCUUCUUGUUUUACACAUUCUAUUUUUUCUUAAAUAAGUUUAAGUUACUUUUGUAAAAGCAUGAGUAACAUGAACAAUAAACUCAUGGAUAUAGGCUCUUAAUUACACUUAAGGAAAUAGGAUGGCAACUUGUAUAAUUAAAUGACUUUUAAUAGUGGGUUUACAAAUCUAAAUUAUCUACUUGUUGAUUUCUUGUAAUGUCUCAACACUCAACCUUUUUGUUUGGAUUUGCAUAAUCACAAUCAACUAAAAUUCCAACUAUUAUAGUGAAAACAGUUUUAAAAAAAUCUUGUUGCUUCUCU